ACCAGCUGUUACGCUGGCACGUUGCAUGACAAUUGAUUGCAGCUCCCCACUGGCGUUUGGCAGAGGCCCCAGCAGAUCAGGGAGGAGUAGACGAGGCUGGAAGGAAGCGGUGUGAAGAAGAGCGGUGAACAGAUGAGGACAGUAACUCAGGCUGUGCUGAGCGGGGCUGGCUGCUGACUCGUGCUAAGAUGCAGAAACAGAAGCUCAUGGAAUGACCCAGGUGCUCCUGCUGUUUUGAGGACAAA